rnacentral:rRNA from 1 species
UACAGAGGUCCCAAGCGUUGUUCGGAUUCACUGGGCGUAAAGAGCGUGUAGGCGGCUUGGUAAGUCCGCUGUGAAAGUCCAGGGCUCAACCCUGGAAAGCCGGUGGAAACUGUCAAGCUUGAGUCCGGAAGAGGCGAGUGGAAUUCCUGGUGUAGCGGUGAAAUGCGCAGAUAUCAGGAGGAACACCAAUGGCGAAGGCAGCUCGCUGGGACGGUACUGACGCUGAGACGCGAAAGCGUGGGGAGCAAACAGG